AGCGGGAAUAGCUCAGUGGUAGAGCACAACCUUGCCAAGGUUGGGGUCGCGAGUUCGAGCCUCGUUUCCCGCUCC
rnacentral:tRNA from 1 species